rnacentral:rRNA from 1 species
UACAGAGGGUGCUAGCGUUGUUCGGAAUUACUGGGCGUAAAGGGCGUGUAGGCGGUUAUAUAAGUCGAUUGUGAAAGCCCUGAGCUUAACUUAGGAAUAGCAAACGAUACUGUAUAACUAGAGUUCGGGAGAGGAUGGUGGAAUUCCCAGUGUAGAGGUGAAAUUCGUAGAUAUUGGGAAGAACACCGAUGGCGAAGGCAGCCAUCUGGACCGACACUGACGCUGAGGCGCGAAAGCGUGGGGAGCAAACAGG